GCCGUUGUGCACUUGUUGUGUGGGCAUGCGCCCAUUAUUGCUUAUAUGUUGUUUAAUUAAAUGCAAACUGGGAGGCUACUUUUUUUUAUAUUUUUUUUUAAUACCUAAUUGUUUUUAACUUUUUGAUUAUUUGAAGUAUAAUGAAAUAAUUAUUAUUUUAAGUAUCAAUUUGUAAGAAAUAAUUGUUUUUGUAUAAAAAAAUUUUUUUGUUAAAAUAUAUUUAUGUCUUUGUUAAGCUUUGUGGAUUUAAAAGAAAAACAUAUGGACUUCAAAAGACUUUAAACAUCAUAAAUUAAUUUUUCCUUUUGUUUAUAUUAAUAUUGUGGUUAAGAUUUAUUAUUGAGUUAUUGCACUUAAGUGCAGGAAAGUGUAACAUUUUAAGUUUCUCAUCUCUAUGUAUUGUCAUAUCUAUGGUCAUCUUCAUAUUGGAAAGGAAAAGGUAGUACUUUCCUUUCUGUUUUUGUCAGCCAUAAUGUAGACAUCAAAAAUUUUUUGUGCUCGUCACGUAUCCAUCGACAUCCAUGUCGAAAGUUGUGUAUUUACUACCGCAUUAGCGGUCCGGGAGUUGGCGACCUCUCGCUGCCCCAUGCCUGAGGUGUGAUCCAUAAGCUUCGCCCAUAACAUCUGGGCACCCCAGGGCUUGUCCCGUGGUUCUACGGCGAUGGGAGCCGCCAACAAAUAUCCCAGGAAAGUUUUCGACGACUAAAUCCUAAGCAUGCAGCAUGGGUAGUUAACCUGUUUCGGCCGCGCGUAUCUUCUUGCAAUCUCAUCGAAUAUUUCAUCAAACUACCCCUUUGGCUUCGAAAUCAUUUUAUUAUUAAACUAUAUUUUAAUACUUUCUGUAUCUUAAAUUUACAAUAAUUUUUUGAAAAUGUAACUAAGUAAUAAUAAUUUUUUUUUGAAAGUGUAACUAAGUAAUAAUUUUUUUUGAAUAUGUAACUAAGCAAUCAUUUUGUGGGGCCCCAUUUUUGUUUUGACUGUACGAAUACUCAAUUAAAACUCUUUAUCGUGUUUUAAAUAAAUAUGUUUUGUUAUGGCUGACCCGAUAUCAGUGUGUAUUUUAUGUUGCAUUUACCUAACCUUUUUUAAUUAAUUUCUUAUCUAUAUAAAUUCUUAACAGGUUAUCAACUUUUGUUCGGUAGUUUUCCCAGUCGGCAUAUUUCCUCUCUACUCAUUAUUUAUUCAAUACAACUAAGUGCCGUGCCAUUGAGCCUAAGGUCCUGGAGUCUUCCGUCGUGAUUUGCCUUGGUGAGGUUUGGUAAACUGAGCCAAGAGUAGAUAACGGCUCA